GAUGAACGCUGGCGGCGUGCCUAAUACAUGCAAGUCGAGCGAACAGACGAGGAGCUUGCUCCUCUGACGUUAGCGGCGGACGGGUGAGUAACACGUGGAUAACCUACCUAUAAGACUGGGAUAACUUCGGGAAACCGGAGCUAAUACCGGAUAAUAUAUUGAACCGCAUGGUUCAAUAGUGAAAGACGGUUUUGCUGUCACUUAUAGAUGGAUCCGCGCCGCAUUAGCUAGUUGGUAAGGUAACGGCUUACCAAGGCAACGAUGCGUAGCCGACCUGAGAGGGUGAUCGGCCACCCUGGAACUGAGACCCGGUCCAGCCUCCUCCGGGAGGCAGCAGUAGGGAUUCUUCCGCAAUGGGCGAAAGCCUGACGGAGCAACGCCGCGUGAGUGAUGAAGGUCUUCGGAUCGUAAAACUCUGUUAUUAGGGAAGAACAAAUGUGUAAGUAACUAUGCACGUCUUGACGGUACCUAAUCAGAAAGCCACGGCUAACUCCGUG
rnacentral:rRNA from 1 species